rnacentral:lncRNA from 1 species
CCGCACUUAUCAUAGUACACCAGAAAUCUAACAAAAUACAAAUAGAACAAAAUAAUGAUAGAAUGCACACUUUAAGCAGUUAGCUCAAACAAGUCGUCACUAUGCAUGAAUUCAGCUAAUCCUAGACCCUGCAUCCAACAAAAACUCAAACCUGAGAAAAAAGAAACAAAAGUUAAUGAAUGACACAUAUAACAUCAAAUUAAUAAUAAAAUAUGCAAUUAACAAGUCAAC